UGGGGAAUAUUGGACAAUGGGCGCAAGCCUGAUCCAGCCAUGCCGCGUGAGUGAUGAAGGCCCUAGGGUUGUAAAGCUCUUUCACCGGUGAAGAUAAUGACGGUAACCGGAGAAGAAGCCCCGGCUAACUUCGUGCCAGCAGCCGCGGUAAUACGAAGGGGGCUAGCGUUGUUCGGAUUUACUGGGCGUACAGCGCACGUAGGCGGACUUUUAAGUCAGGGGUGAAAUCCCGGGGCUCAACCCCGGAACUGCCUUUGAUACUGGAAGUCUUGAGUAUGGUAGAGGUGAGUGGAAUUCCGAGUGUAGAGGUGAAAUUCGUAGAUAUUCGGAGGAACACCAGUGGCGAAGGCGGCUCACUGGACCAUUACUGACGCUGAGGUGCGAAAGCGUGGGGAGCAAACAGG
rnacentral:rRNA from 1 species